CAUCCCUACCAUCCACCCUUGAUCCUGCCCCACGUUGGCUUUGUCUGUGGGUCCUUUAUAUAAGUUCCUUGACAACCCUUCCCCUUUUUCUUUGGAGACAUUUAGCUUCUCCAGAAAGGACUCCUGGGUUGUAGUAGCAGGGCAGGAGCAGGGGGCUGAGGACCCUACAGUGUGCGUGGUGACUUUUACUUAAUGCCUGUAUUUUCAGCCACCUUGUGCCCUGACCCACCAGCCCCAGUCUUCCUCUGUGGUAGGCAACCCUCUGGUUGUUUCUACUGGGUGGAAGGUGAGGAUGGUGAGAGGACCUGGGGUCCAGUUGCUCUUUCUGCCCAUUUCAAGCCCGAAUUUGAGCCCUGAACCUCAUUGCCUGUUUCUACAAUACCUGGCACUUCCUAGUACUGAACUUGCUAUGGGUUUGGGAAGGUGAAUUUUUGGAUAUUUAGGCUUUAACUUCCUCCACUUUGCUAGGUUAGUUAUUACACCUUCUCCUGGUGUUGACUUGUAUAAACUCUGUUGAAAUCUCAUGGCUGUGUAGUCAGUUCUCUUUGUUUUUCUGAAUACCAUUUAUAUUCCUUUAAUAUCUUUUGGUGGGAUUUUGAAAGUAGAGAAGAUAAAUACAUGUGGUCAAUCUAUCAUGUUUAACUGGAAGCCUAGAUUUAAAUUCUAAUAGUGUGUAGAAAAUAAAUUUCUUUAGUAUUCUAUACUUCAUUCUUUCCACUCUCUGAUGUGUUUUGAUUAAUUGUGGAUAGGAAAACCAAAUGAAUUAAUACAGUGAUAUUAACAUAUUAAGUAAUUUCUGACAUCAGGGAGGGGUAGUUUCCAUGAGCAAUGUAUUCAGAAUAUCAAAAGUGAACAAAAUAUAUGACUCUUACGACUUUCCUCCUUAGUUUUUAUUCAAUCAGGGUGAGAGGAGGAUGCUGUUGAUAUUCUCUGUGCUUUUAAAAGUUUGUCACAAAGACUGUGUCACCCACUUAAAUCUCAGUGUAAAGGGUGUUGCCAGAUUUGGUAGCGUGGAGACGGGAACAAAGGAGAGAACUGUGUUCCGAAGGGACCCACCAGCCACCAGGAGCUAGGCCCGCACACACGGUUCCUGCCCAGCCUCUGGGUGUUAGGAGGCAGAGGCUGUCUUUCAGGAUGCGACACAGCAGUUUAGGAGUAAAGAGUGAGUCGUGUGCACUGAAAAGGAGGCGUUCUAGGAAUACUUUCAGUGCCAUCAGGUUCCUUCUAGCACUCCACUGUAAAUUCUUAAAGAGCUGCAUUAUUUCUUGCCCUUCCUCUUACUUUUUAAAAGCAGUCCUGGAACACAUCCUCUUUAUUAAGUAAUCACUUAGACAAUACAAAUAAAGCAAAAGUUCACCUCAACACCCCCACUUCUCUAGGAAUAACCACUCUUUUCUGGUGUGUGUCCUUUCAGACCUUGUCCCUGUGCAUAAACUGAUAUGAUAUAGGUCGUACAUUACCGCCAUUCAGGGUAGCUCCUUGGUAGCAAGAUGAUUUAAGAACACAGUGGCACAUCUCUGUGUGCGGCUAUACAAAAAGCCAGGUGAGUCUCUAUAUCUUCACAAGCAUUCUUUUGUGGGUGGCAGAAUCAUGCUGACCUCUGCCGUUGUUGACCAGACAGGCAUUUCAGUUCUUACUUUCUUUAAUCCCUCUCUGCAAAGGAAGGUGGAUUGAUUGCUUUUCUAGAUAGCUGGAAUGAGAAUAUCCUAGCAUUGCCUGGUGCUUCUCUUUAACCGUGUGUGCGGCAGCGUGUGUGCGGGUCUGUGUGCAUGGUUUCUUGGUUGUAGACCAUGCAACUUGGGAUCAUUUUGUUUUGAGAUACAGCUUUAUGUUUAGUUUUAUAAUUGAUUUUACAAGUUUAGCUACAAAGGAUAAAAUAAAUUUGCUGUGGAAGUUACCAUGACUUGGUCAAAAUAGAGUUGUGAUUUUUAUUUUUGUUUGGCAGCAAUCGAAAUAUGGCCUAGAAAUUAAGGGUGAAGCAUCCAGAUUUCUGUCAGGGGAUGAAUACAUAUUCCCUGACAGACAAACAAAAGUAGCCCCUCAUCUCUAUUCGGGCCAAGUGUGUGCGUGUGCCUAAGUAACACACCUGUCCACUUACUAGCAGUGCCUUUGUGAAUUUGAAGACCCUUGCAACAUUGUUGACAUGGUGCUCAGGGGAAAAAGACAUUGCCAUACUUUUAAAAAACUUUAAAAAGUAUAAGUGUAGCAAGUGAAAUUCAGUAGUAAACCAAUGCUCGACACACUACUGUUUGUGUUUAGACCACUCUUAGUUAUUACUCGAGAGAAGAGUUUUAGUUCACUUCAGUUUUGCAUAAGUAGCAAACCUUCUUAGAAAGACUAGUUGCCCUUCUUUCUCCUUGUAGUAUUUUAAAAAUAUAGUUCAUGAUACUUUAGGGGAGAAAUUGACAGAUUGUAACUUUUCUUGCUUUUCUGGAUCCAGCCACCUUGGCCACACAGUGGCCUUGAAUGUGGCAUGAAGACUAGCAAAUGUGUGGGUGACUCUUGGGCCUCCUAACAUUCCCUUGGGACAUGUGGCUUCAUCUGCUAUCAUGAUUACAUAUGUCACUUCCAGAUUUAACUCCUGCAGGUGUUUUUCUUUCUUUGGGGGGAACAUGAAGGGAGUAGGGAGUGAUUAUAGUUUUAGAUGAUGUUUCUAAUAGUUCAGGGUCAUCACUGGCUUGAACCGGAGAAAAGUAAAAGACUCACUUUGGUUUUUGAAUUAUGUAUGCUAUUUCAAUAUUUUCUUUUACCAGUUCUGAAAAAAAUCAUGAUUGUAUGUUAUAAUAAUCAAGGUCUAAUG